UAGAUGAUUCGAUCUCCUAUUUUUGGCAAAUUCCACUUGAAAAUCCAAUUGUCUACUCGUACAAUUGUUUUUUUCUUUUUUUUUCAGAAGAAAAAGUAGACGAGGGUUUAAGCCCGACCCCAAAACCCCCGACCUGGACCAUUCCCAUUCCCCCUUUCGAGCCUCCCUACCACGGAGUGCAGCAGAGUUGCAUGCAGUUACAGAGCCGUCAUGAAGCUCUUUGGCUCCUCCAGUGGAGCCCGUCCUUUGUACCAGCUUGAAUCUAGGGUUAGGGUUAAGGCCGGUUUGGGGGCUUUCCUGUCCACGGAAGCGAUCCGCCAACCGGCCGACAGGGGCUGGACGGACACCCUCUACAACCGGGUGGUGCUGGUGGCGGACCCCAAGAUCUCGGUCGUCCCCGUUCUGGAGAGAUGGGUCCAGGAAGGGAAGCCCGUGGAGAAGAAAGACCUCCAGUCGAUGGUCAAGCAGAUGAUGGAUUUCCGGAGAUACUCUCACGCCCUCGAGAUAUCUACGUGGAUGAGCGACCGGAGGUAUUUUCCCUUAACACCAGGUGACCUUGCUUAUCGACUGCAAGUUAUCAAUAAAGUUCAUGGCCUUGAACAUGCAGAGAAUUAUUUCAAUAACAUACCCAGACAAUUAAAAUUCUAUCAGCCUCAUGGUGCUCUUCUCAGCUGCUAUGCAGAAGAGAAAUCUGUUGAGAAAGCAGAGGCUCUCUUUGAGAAAAUGAAGGAGUCAAAUAUGCUCUCAUCUUUUGUGUACAAUAUGCUAUUGAAACUCUACUCUGACAUAGGAGAACUUGGUAAAGUAGACGCCACAUUCCAAGAAAUGCAAGAAAAAGGAAUUCUUCCUGAUUUUUUCACCUACAAUAUUCUAAUGGAAGCAUAUGCCAACACUUCCAACAUCAAUGGGAUGGAAAAAAUUCUGAAAAAAAUACAAGAUCCUAAAGUACCUGCAAAUUGGCACAUAUAUGCAGUUGCUGCUAAGGGUUAUAUGAAAAUAGGGUUAAUGGAUAAGGCCUUAGCAGCACUGAAAAAAUCAGAGAAACAGAUCCCUCAAAAGAAGGGUCGAGUUGCUUAUGGGUUUAUACUCUCUCUAUAUGCUGAUAUUGGCAGCAAAGAUGAGCUACACCGAGUAUGGAAUGCAUACAAAGCAAGAGAGAGGUUAUCCAACUCAAUGUACAUGUGCAUGAUAAGUGCGCUACUGAAGUUAGACGAUAUUGAGGGUGCAGAGGCUAUCUUGAAGGAGUGGGAAACCCGGUGUAAUUUCUAUGAUUUCCGGGUGCCGAAUCUGCUUAUUGGUGCUUAUUGUAGGAAAGGGCUUCUAGGGAAGGCAGAAUCACUAGUAAGUCAGGUCAUUGAGAGUGGAAGGACACCUUUUGCUAAUACAUGGGACCGUUUAGCGGGUGGGUAUUUUCGAGAAGGUCAGCCUUUAAAAGCAGUCGAGAUGAUGAAGAAGGCAUUACAAUUGACAGGGCAAACUAGAUGGAAGCCAAAUCCUGCAAAUGUUCUUGCGAGCUUGGAGUACUUCAGAGAUCAAAAGGAUGUGGAAGCAGCAGAGAAGUUUGUGAAAAUGUUAAGAUGUCUGGUCCCUUUGACAGAGGAAAAUUAUCACUGCUUGCUGAGGACUUACUUGUUAGCUCAGAAACCAGUCACCGAUUUGCUAGAGCAGAUGAAAGAGAAUGGAUUGAAUGCAGAUGGUGAAACACAAAAGAUUCUGGAGGAGAAAAACAACCAACAUCAUCCAGAAUCUUCAUGUUGAAACAAGAGUCAAAGUUUGUGGCACCCAAUACUUAAUUUUCCAAAGUGAGCCAACACUGUUAGUUGCUCUGUGCCUGCUUUGCUGCAUUUGUCACAUACCGAAACUAUCGGUAUCUUAGUGCUGAAGAAUCUCAAGAAAAAAAGUAAUCAAUUUUCGUUAUGCAACAUAAAGUGUGGUAUCUUGUUGGAGAUCAUGAAAGAGAUCACUCCCAGGAUGCUAGUUCCCUCUCUGAUGUAUGCAACUUUCUGCCCGUUCCUCUGUCAAGCAUUCAGGGUGAUUACCAUUUCUACGGCGGGUAAUAUCUUCAAUAUUUCGAGAUGUACAGUUCUCGAUUGCGAAGAUGCACAGAUUCUGGGUGCGGCAUUCAUGCCAUGCACACUUGUAGUACCACGAGACAUGCAGAAUGGAGUGAGCAGUGAGCAUGUGAAGUACCUUAACGUUUUGAAUCUUCAUGAUUUGAAGUUAUUCUGGGACCCUAGAAUUUCUCCUGCCAUCAGCAAUCUAUGCAUGAGUAUGUUGACCUACAAUCUGUUCUUUUUAGAUCCCUGGAACUAGACUGCUUUAGACCUAAUCAGCUUAUAAUUCUUGUAGCAUAUAUCUUUUGUUUUUUGUUGUUUCUUUCGUUGUUUGUUUUUCUUUUUUUUCCGGUGUUCUUCUGAAUGUAUUGUAGUUUUAUCUUAUAUAAGCUCUUUAGUGGUGCAGGUAA